AUUAGUGGUCUGAUAGAUAACCCCAUAGAGCUGUUUAUGAAAGAUAUCUGGAAGCUUCCAAAAUAUGUUGUCACUGCCACUCUACAGUGCGCUGGUAACAGGAGGACUGCCAUGAGCAAUGUCAAAAAAGUAAGAGGAGUUGGCUGGGAUGUUUCUGCUAUAGGAAAUGCUGUCUGGGGUGGUGCCAAAUUGGCAGAUGUUCUUGAACUUGUUGGGAUAUCCAAGUUCACGGGUACCACAAACUCAGGUGGAAAACAUGUUGAAUUUAUAAGCAUUGAUAAGUGUAAGGAGGAGAACGGGGGUCCUUACAAGGCAUCAAUUCCGCUCAGUCAGGCUACAAACCCUGAAGCUGACGUUUUACUUGCUUAUGAUAUGAAUGGGGAGCCUCUAAACAGGGAUCA
rnacentral:misc_RNA from 1 species